GAUGAACGCUAGCGGCAGGCCUAAUACAUGCAAGUCGGACGGGAUUCAGGAGCUUGCUUCUGAUGAGAGUGGCGCACGGGUGCGUAACACGUAUGUAACCUACCUUUAUCAGGGGGAUAGCCUCUCGAAAGAGAGAUUAAGCCCGCAUAAAAUCACAGCACAGCAUUGUGUAAUGAUCAAAUAUUUAUAGGAUAAAGAUGGGCAUGCGGAACAUUAGCUAGAUGGCGGGGUAACGGCCCACCAUGGCGACGAUGUUUAGGGGAUCUGAGAGGAUGGCCCCCCACACUGGUACUGAGACACGGACCAGACUCCUACGGGAGGCAGCAGUAAGGAAUAUUGGUCAAUGGGCGGAAGCCUGAACCAGCCAUGCCGCGUGCAGGAAGACGGCCCUACGGGUUGUAAACUGCUUUUAUACGGGAAUAAACCCAGAUACGUGUAUCUGGCUGAAUGUACUGUAAGAAUAAGGAUCGGCUAACUCCGUGC
rnacentral:rRNA from 1 species